AUACGGAGGGUGCGAGCGUUAAUCGGAAUUACUGGGCGUAAAGGGUCCGUAGGCGGUCUGCUUAGUCUGAUGUGAAAGCCCCGGGCUUAACCUGGGAAUGGCAUUGGAUACUGGCGGACUAGAGUCUGGUAGAGGGUGGUGGAAUUCCCGGUGUAGCGGUGAAAUGCGUAGCUAUCGGGAGGAACACCAGUGGCGAAGGCGGCCACCUGGACCAAGACUGACGCUGAGGGACGAAAGCGUGGGGAGCAAACAGGAUUAGAAACCCUAGUAGUCC
rnacentral:rRNA from 1 species